CCCACUUCUUCUGCAUCAGAUCACGGAUUUGGAGAUCAGGAGAGUGCCCGGGUUCUCCUCCGGGAGCACAGUCCUUCUGACACCCUGGGUAAUGCAGUAGGCUGCAGUGUUGGGGAGUCUACAUAUUCUCCGGAAAGUUCUUGGUGGGUUCGACUAGGCAGCGUUUCCUGGGAGA